rnacentral:rRNA from 1 species
UUCCGGUUGAUCCUGCCGGACCCCACUGCUAUCGGGAUGGGACUAAGACAUGCUAGUCGUGCGCUUCCAAGCCACGGUGGAGGCGCGGCGCACAGCUCAGUAGCACGUGGCUAACCUACCCUUGGGACGGAAACAACCCCGGGAAACUGGGGCUAAUUUCCGAUAGGUGAAGACUCCUGGAAUGGAUCUUCGCCCAAAAGGCGUUUAGACCAUGCUUCUAAGCGCUGCCCAAGGAUGGGGCCGCGGCCGAUCAGGUUGUUGGUGAGGUAACGGCUCACCAAGCCUUUAACCGGUUCGGGCCGUGAGAGCGGGAGCCCGGAGAUGGGCACUGAGACAAGGGCCCAGGCCCUACGGGGCGCAGCAGUCGCGAAAACUUCGCAAUACGCGGGAGCGUGACGGGGCCAUCCCGAGUGCCGUCCGCUGAGGAUGGCUUUUCCCCAGUGUAGAUAGCUGGGGGAAUAAGGAGAGGGCAAGUCUGGUGUCAGCCGCCGCGGUAAUACCAGCUCUCCGAGUGGUGGGGAUGUUUAUUGGGCUUAAAGCAUCCGUAGCUGGCUGGGCAAGUCCCCUGUUAAAUCUAACGAUUCAAUCGUUGGAUUGCGGGGGAUACUGCUCGGCUAGGGGGCGGGAGAGGCCGACGGUAUUCCCGGGGUAGGGGUGAAAUCCUAUAAUCCCGGGAGGACCACCAGUGGCGAAGGCUGUCGGCUAGAACGCGCCCGACGGUGAGGGAUGAAAGCUGGGGGAGCGAACCGGAUUAGAUACCCGGGUAGUCCCAGCUGUAAACGAUGCAGGCUAGGUGUUCGGGCGGCCACGUGCCGCUCGAGUGCCGCAGG